UACGGAGGGUGCAAACGUUGCUCGGAAUCAUUGGGCGUAAAGCGCACGUAGGCGGCUAGAUAAGUCGGGUGUGAAAGCCCUGGGCUCAACCCAGGAAGUGCAUUCGAAACUGUCUAGCUUGAAUCUCGGAGGGGGUCAGAGAAUUCCCGGUGUAGAGGUGAAAUUCGUAGAUAUCGGGAGGAAUACCAGUGGCGAAGGCGGUUCUCUGGGCCUUACCUGACGCUGAGGAGCGAAAGCGUGGGGAGCGAACAGG
rnacentral:rRNA from 1 species